rnacentral:rRNA from 1 species
UGUUGUUGUGAGAAGUUCAUUAAACCUUAUCAUUUAGAGGAAGGAGAAGUCGUAACAAGGUUUCCGUAGGUGAACCUGCGGAAGGAUCAUUG